rnacentral:rRNA from 1 species
AUUGAACGCUGGCGGCAGGCCUAACACAUGCAAGUCGAGCGGAUGAAGGGAGCUUGCUCCUGGAUUCAGCGGCGGACGGGUGAGUAAUGCCUAGGAAUCUGCCUGGUAGUGGGGGAUAACGUCCGGAAACGGGCGCUAAUACCGCAUACGUCCUGAGGGAGAAAGUGGGGGAUCUUCGGACCUCACGCUAUCAGAUGAGCCUAGGUCGGAUUAGCUAGUUGGUGGGGUAAAGGCUUACCAAGGCGACGAUCCGUAACUGGUCUGAGAGGAUGAUCAGUCACACUGGAACUGAGACACGGUCCAGACUCCUACGGGAGGCAGCAGUGGGGAAUAUUGGACAAUGGGCGAAAGCCUGAUCCAGCCAUGCCGCGUGUGUGAAGAAGGUCUUCGGAUUGUAAAGCACUUUAAGUUGGGAGGAAGGGUAGUAAGUUAAUACCUUGCUGUUUUGACGUUACCAACAGAAUAAGCACCGGCUAACUUCGUG